CGUGAAGAAGCGGGGAUAUUUAUAUAAGACGAGAAGACCCUAUGGAGCUUUAAACAAUUAUAGCACUGGCCCACACUUCUUAUUCUCCUGAGACAUAACUAUUAUAUAGACCAACAUGACUAUUAGUUUUAGGUUGGGGUGACCACGGAGCAAAAAAUAACCUCCAUGUUGAACGGAGCUACUCCUGAGCUAAAAGCUACAACUUUAAGCACCAAUAAACUGACAUCAAUUGACCCAACAUGUUGACCAACGAACCAAGUUACCCUAGGGAUAACAGCGCAAUCCAUUUCAAGAGCUCCUAUCGACAAAUGGGUUUACGACCUCGAUGUGGGAUCAG
rnacentral:rRNA from 1 species